rnacentral:rRNA from 1 species
UGGGGAAUAUUGGGCAAUGGGCGAAAGCCUGACCCAGCAACGCCGCGUGAAGGAAGAAGGUCUUCGGAUUGUAAACUUCUUUUAUGAGGGACGAAGGACGUGACGGUACCUCAUGAAUAAGCCACGGCUAACUACGUGCCAGCAGCCGCGGUAAUACGUAGGUGGCAAGCGUUAUCCGGAUUUACUGGGUGUAAAGGGCGCGUAGGCGGGGAUGCAAGUCAGAUGUGAAAAUCUAUGGGCUUAACUCAUAAAACUGCAUUUGAAAACUGUAUCUCUUGAGUGCUGGAGAGGUAGAUGGAAUUCCUUGUGUAGCGGUGAAAUGCGUAGAUAUAAGGAAGAACACCAGUGGCGAAGGCGAUCUACUGGACAGUAACUGACGCUGAGGCGCGAAAAGCGUGGGGAGCAAAACAGGAUUAGAUACC